GCUGGGCAUGGUGGCCUGAGCCUAUAGUCCCAGCUGCUUGGGAGGCUGAGGCAGGAGGAUUGCUAGAACUCAGGAGUUUGAGACUCACCAGGGCAACAGAAUGAGGCCCCAUCUCUU
rnacentral:sRNA from 1 species